GAGUGUUACCGCUCUUUUAGAAUCUGUCUAGUAGAUUUUCCAGCACUGGCUGGGCAGCCCUU
rnacentral:snRNA from 1 species